GCCCAAGUGGCGCGAUUCCCUAUGAAAGUUUUCGGUCGACUAGAAGGGUUCUGAAGCUACGCCAAUGCCCUUAGCGCACGUGAGAUACCGAUAACGAUACUCCCCAACGAUAUCCAAUACAAUAAACCCAAAAAACUAUUCCCAACAACCCAUUCCACGCGUAGCAGAGCACACGGUCGUCGCCGAGUAGCCGCGGAGAAAGGAACAAAAUCGUACGAGCACCGCGAGCUAUGUAGCAGCUUCUCUGAAAGCACAACGAAAGCAUUUGCGGCGACUGCGAAUAAGGGGAAAACUGCAAAUUUCCAACUGCCGAUCAGUCACUAGUUGGCAGCCGGCAGCUUAGCACACCAUCGUCACGGGACGCGCCCUCUAACUAGGACGGACGGCUUCUAUCUCUUGCCCCGUUUGGAGCCGUGUUCCAUCGUCGACUGACCUUCCAGCCAGCCACUGCAGCCUGUAGUGUCCACACCGUUGUUGGUUGGUGUACGUGACGAGCGAGGACAGGGAACACGUUGCCAUCAUCAUCCGCGCAGCCUGCUUCGACGGCGACGACGCCAGGAAAGAAGGUGAGUGCUGUUUAGGGGUCACGGGUCAUUACGAUUCGCGCAGCACCGAAGCCGGGGAGAACCGUCCGCUUUUCGGUUUGAUCUCUUAUCACGUUGCGGCUGCGGCUCGCUCGCUGGAAAAAGUGAGACAACGUCAUCCGCUGUGUUAUCAGUUCGACUCGAGCAGUGGUGACGGGUGCUGCGAAGAAGUGCAUUAUCAGUGGUGCGGAAAGCCGGCGAAGGGUGUCUCAGAAUCGACCGGUGUGCGAAGUGUUCUGCUAAUCGCUCGCAAAUCUAGCUUGCUUCCGAACGGGUGGUCAAUCAAACGAGCGCGCGAGAGCAAGAGAGCGACUCUCGCGCAUACGGCGAGUUGUUAUAAAGCACAAUAGCGCCCCAUUCUAACGGAUCAGUACGAAUCGAGAGGUUGUCCCGGAAUGGUUUGAAACCGAUUCCUGUCGGAUUGUCGCUAACCCCAUACACCGGGAGUAACUUCCCCCGCACCCGUUCAGUGUGAGUCUCGAAGACGAGAAGUGCAAUCGUGUGAGAGGAGUGAUUACCAAGAAGAAGAAGAAGAUUAUUUUGCAGAUUUCUAAUCUUGUUGCUGAGGUGAAAAACGGUGAAGAGUUGGAGCAAGUGUGAAUUAUCUGCAAUCAGAUUUGGUAGAAAAAAUAGUGUCUUCGAGUAGACGGAUCUUUUGGAGCAGUUUCGUUCCAGUUUAACCUAUCUACUUUUUGGAAGAAAGGUAAGAUUGAUCAAACAACUUCCAGAACUUCAGGGUCAGCCACAGGUAAUAAUCUUAAAUCAAGGUAUUAACCUUUGGUGAACUUUUCCAAAAAUACUACUGUAUGUGCUUUGCCUUCCGUUUAUAUUCUUCUGGUCUGGUCUGGUGGCAUCCAACUUGCGGCUUUCUUUAUAAGUUUUUUAACAGUUCCACAGUUACUUUUUAUAUUCUUCAAGUGGCAUUGGGAUUCUAUCGUUUCCAACGAUGGUUUAAGGAAUUAAAAAAAAAAUCUUUGAUGGAUCCUCGAAAAAGCUUCCUGACUGAACUUGUAAUUUCACUUGAUAUAUUUUUGGUGAUUCCUAUACAGAGUUUUCCGGCUUCUAAGGACUUUCCGGUAGUAUCUCUGAAAGAGCUUUGGGCGAGUAAAGGCUUGAGAGCCAGGGCACAUGGCAAAAUACGUUUGUCCCAUCGUAGCAUUCCAACAACCCCACUUUUCACGGAACGGUUGGUACGGGAUGUCUCCGUUUCACGGUUUCGAAGUUGAAUCUAGUUCGGAACUGAUUCGUACAGUAAUGCUCAAUAACGCUGCACAGUAGGCCUGGCCGCUUCAAUGCUUGCAAUGUAACUCCGAUGCAUGGCAAGCAUUAAUAAUGACAAGAAAAAUUAUGGGAGUAGUCGAUGCCAUUAUUUUCCAGGAUUCUUUCAAUGAAUAGCUGUGUAUAUGUAGACUAGACUAGACUCAACUUGUAUCUCUGAAACUAUGAAAUUGUUGAAAAAAAAAAGAAAAUGCCUAUGAGCAUAACAUAGCUAAAGAUGUGAAAGAACCUACAGAAAUGCAGAAGAAAUAAAAAAAAUGGGAAUCUGAGUUCAAAAUAUUUUUAGUUCGUCUUAGAGCGUUUCAGAAACCCUUUUGUAGCUUUUUGAAUGCGAAAUAAAUGUGCUGAUGCACAUGGAGGAUUUAUUAUACUCCUAUUUCCCUUACUAAUGACCCACACAUUUUGCAGAAAAAAAGAAAAACAAGCAAAUCGUUAUCAGACUGCACCCAACAACCAUCUAAUAAACGAUGCCUUGCUCAGCCAAUUAUCACCGGCCAGGCUAUGAACCAGCUUAGCCCGUAAGAUGAUAAUUUGCCGAUCAGGCGCGAUAGGCGCGGAAAAACACUCUACUCCCCUUAAUGCAGAGCGGAGAAGGUGUUGUAUAUGAACGUGCAUCGUAGGAAAAACGCGAGGUAUUUUUACCCAUUUGCAAAACCAAGAAACGACGACG